rnacentral:rRNA from 1 species
GAUGAACGCUGGCGGCGUGCCUAAUACAUGCAAGUCGAGCGAACAGACGAGGAGCUUGCUCCUCUGACGUUAGCGGCGGACGGGUGAGUAACACGUGGAUAACCUACCUAUAAGACUGGGAUAACUUCGGGAAACCGGAGCUAAUACCGGAUAAUAUAUUGAACCGCAUGGUUCAAUAGUGAAAGACGGUUUUGCUGUCACUUAUAGAUGGAUCCGCGCCGCACUAGCUAGUUGGUAAGGUAACGGCUUACCAAGGCAACGAUGCGUAGCCGACCUGAGAGGAUGAUCGGCCACACUGGAACUGAGACACGGUCCAGACUCCUACGGGAGGCAGCAGUAGGGAAUCUUCCGCAAUGGGCGAAAGCCUGACGGAGCAACGCCGCGUGAGUGAUGAAGGUCUUCGGAUCGUAAAACUCUGUUAUUAGGGAAGAACAAAUGUGUAAGUAACUAUGCACGUCUUGACGGUACCUAAUCAGAAAGCCACGGCUAACUACGUG